rnacentral:rRNA from 1 species
GAUGAACGCUAGCGGCGGGCUUAAUACAUGCAAGUCAAGGGGUAGCAAUACACCGGCGUACGGGUGCGUAACGCGUAUGGAACCUGCCCUUAUCUGGGGGAUAACUCGGGAAACUCGAGCUAAUACCGCAUAAGAUAGUAGAAUGGCAUCAUUCAGCUAUUAAAGAUUUAUCGGAUAAGGAUGGCCAUGCGUAAGAUUAGAUAGUUGGUGGGGUAACGGCUCACCAAGUCUACGAUCUUUAGGGGCUCUGAGAGGAGAAUCCCCCACACUGGCACUGAGAUACGGGCCAGACUCCUACGGGAGGCAGCAGUAGGGAAUAUUGGGCAAUGGGCGGAAGCCUGACCCAGCCACGCCGCGUGCAGGAAGAAGGCCCUCUGGGUUGUAAACUGCUUUUGAUUGGGAAGAAAGCAUCUCAUGCGUGAGAUUUUGACGGUACCAAUCGAAUAAGCCACGGCUAACUACGUGCCAGCAGCCGCGGUAAGAC